rnacentral:tRNA from 1 species
GGAGGGUUCGCAUAGCGGCCAAUUGCACGGGUUUCGAAAACCCGAGGGGUUCUCCCCUACAGAGGUUCAAAUCCUCUACCCUCCG